GAUGAACGCUGGCGGCGUGCCUAAUACAUGCAAGUCGAGCGAACGGACGAGAAGCUUGCUUCUCUGAUGUUAGCGGCGGACGGGUGAGUAACACGUGGAUAACCUACCUAUAAGACUGGGAUAACUUCGGGAAACCGGAGCUAAUACCGGAUGAUAUUUUGAACCGCGUGGUUCAAAAGUGAAAGACGGUCUUGCUGUCACUUAUAGAUGGAUCCGCGCUGCAUUAGCUAGUUGGUAAGGUAACGGCUUACCAAGGCAACGAUGCAUAGCCGACCUGAGAGGGCGAUCGGCCACACUGGAACUGAGACACGGUCCAGACUCCUACGGGAGGCAGCAGUAGGGAAUCUUCCGCAAUGGGCGAAAGCCUGACGGAGCAACGCCGCGUGAGUGAUGAAGGUCUUCGGAUCGUAAAACUCUGUUAUUAGGGAAGAACAUAUGUGUAAGUAACUGUGCACAUCUUGACGGUACCUAAUCAGAAAGCCACGGCUAACUACGUG
rnacentral:rRNA from 1 species